rnacentral:rRNA from 1 species
CUUGUCCACUCCAGGGGGACAACAGUUCGGAAACAGCUGCUAAUACCCCAUAAGCCUAAGGGUUAAAGGAGCAAUCCGGGAGAGGAGAGACUCGCGUCCUAUCAGCUAGUAGGUGAGAUAAUGGCUCACCUAGGCUAAGACGGGUAACCGGACUGAGAGGUCGAACGGUCACACUGGAACUGAGACACGGUCCAGACUCCUACGGGAGGCAGCAGUGGGGAAUCUUGGGCAAUGGGGGCAACCCUGACCCAGCGACGCCGCGUGGGUGAAGAAAUUCUUCGGAAUGUAAAGCCCUGUUGUAUGGGAAGAUAAUGACGGUACCAUACCAGAAAGCCCCGGCAAACUACGUGCCAGCAGCCGCGGUAAUACGUAGGGGGCAAGCGUUGUCCGGAAUUACUGGGCGUAAAGCGCACGCAGGCGGAAUUGUAAGUCCGUUGUAAAAUGCAAAGGCUCAACCUUUGUUUGUCGACGGAUACUGCAAAUCUAGAGUAUGUGAGAGGGAAGUGGAAUUCCAGGUGUAGCGGUGAAAUGCGUAAAUAUCUGGAGGAACACCAGUGGCGAAGGCGACUUCCUG